UGUUGCGCAUCAUGGUAUGCGCAUCCGCGAAUUGUUACCAAACCACCGGCUUUACAUUGGCGUUCACGUGAUUGCGGCGGCGUUUGAAAGAUUAAUCUAUACGACAGGUCACAAAAUGUCGUAACCGUUGGGAAAUGAACGUUGGGAGUGCCGAGUGAAAUGCCGCAUCAAUCAACAGUGUUAACAGCUACGUGUUAGACUUUUAUCGGACAAUGAGAUCGGUCAUCUGCGGCGUGAUGCUGUUCCAAGACGGAAAGCUAACAACGGACAUGGGCAGCGAAACAGAUGUCGUAGGUGAAAAUCGAUCGAUGGAAAAUUUAAGCUAUGUCACUCAACUCGCGAGCUACGAUAAGAUGUUACUUCACGCAUGGCGGCGACAUGGUUUUGCGACCGGUGUUUGCAGAUUUGCCACUUUUUGUCCGUGUCGACCCUACAACGCUAUGUCAUAUAUUUUUAGAAGCGGUCUGUCCGGACGGGGAAAAUGCUGGCUCCGCUCACUCCAUCGAUCAGUACGUCGCGAGAUUCGUGUCCGAUUCAUGUGCGGAUGGAACGUGCGACAAGGAUGACUGUCCGAGGACACGACGAGAGACAUUAUCGCACCGAGCAGUCGGCAGGAGUCACCGUCGCAUACGAAAGGAUGGAGAAGAAAGCGGACGCCGCCAGCCAACCGAUGGCGAGGAACAGCAAUUUCCUGAGGAAUAUCCGGAUUUACGGGGCUCCUCGAGGAUAUCGAACAAAUUUAGCGCGAAACACGUAACGAACGAGUUCCGUGGCAACGGGCCGGAGGGACGAAAGUGCCGGAGCAGAAGGAGAGAGAGAAGGAGAGGAAGAGAGAAGAACGAGCUACCGCGCACGCAUA